rnacentral:rRNA from 1 species
CUUCCAUCUGGAAGAAUCUGGAGACAGGUGCUGCAUGGCUGUCGUCAGCUCGUGUCGUGAGAUGUUGGGUUAAGUCCCGCAACGAGCGCAACCCUUGCCUUUAGUUGCCAGCAGUUCGGCUGGGCACUCUAAAGGGACUGCCGGUGUUAAACCGGAGGAAGGUGGGGAUGACGUCAAGUCCUCAUGGCCUUUAUGACCAGGGCUACACACGUACUACAAUGGCCGAUACAAAGGGCAGCGACACUGCGAGGCGAAGCCAAUCCCGUAAAAUCGGUCUCAGUCCGGAUUGGAGUCUGCAACUCGACUCCAUGAAGUUGGAAUCGCUAGUAAUCGUGGAUCAGCAUGCCACGGUGAAUACGUUCCCGGGCCUU